GGUCAUUUAGAGGAAGUAAAAGUCGUAACAAGGUUUCCGUAGGUGAACCUGCGGAAGGAUCAUUACAGAGUUCAUGCCCGAAAGGGUAGACCUCCCACCCUUGUGUAUUAUUACUUUGUUGCUUUGGCGAGCUGCCUUCGGGCCUUGUAUGCUCGCCAGAGAAUACCAAAACUCUUUUUAUUAAUGUCGUCUGAGUACUAUAUAAUAGUUAAAACUUUCAACAACGGAUCUCUUGGUUCUGGCAUCGAUGAAGAACGCAGCGAAAUGCGAUAAGUAAUGUGAAUUGCAGAAUUCAGUGAAUCAUCGAAUCUUUGAACGCACAUUGCGCCCCUUGGUAUUCCGGGGGGCAUGCCUGUUCGAGCGUCAUUUCAACCCUCAAGCUUAGCUUGGUAUUGAGUCUAUGUCAGUAAUGGCAGGCUCUAAAAUCAGUGGCGGCGCCGCUGGGUCCUGAACGUAGUAAUAUCUCUCGUUACAGGUUCUCGGUGUGCUUCUGCCAAAACCCAAAUUUUUCUAUGGUUGACCUCGGAUCAGGUAGGGAUACCCGCUGAACUUAAGCAUAUCAAUAAGCGGAGGAAAAGAAACCAACAGGGAUUGCCCCAGUAACGGCG
rnacentral:rRNA from 1 species